AUGAAAUUUAUACAAACAACACAUCAAGAAGAGAAGCGACUAUCAUUUUGGGAGGAGUUGCAAUUUGGGGCAGAGGUUGUAGCUCCGUGCCGUCGGAAUGAGUCGCGGCCGGGAAAAGGAGCGUCGAAGGCUGGUGUCGCCGUUUGUCGGAGGUGCGGAGCUUCACGCGUGGAGACGGAGCUGGUCGGAACCGUAGGUACAUCGUCGGAUUGGUGGGGUCGCGCAAUGAAGGGAUGA